CAUCUGGUGGAAAGAGAUUGUAAAACAGAAAUAGUUGCUUUAUACGUGCUGUACGUUACGACACGUCAAGAUGUAACGGAGGGUCUGUUUUUUCAACUUUUCUCCAAUACUAUUGGAUUAAUACUAGAGCCAUUACCAUGUCGAUCAACGCUUGAAUAGAAACCUAGUUCACACCCCCGAUUUUGACGUCAACACAGUCCCACUUGGUAGCCUCGUUUGAAUGUUGCGGUUGCGCACAUUUGUACGGAAUGGGAAUACCUUGACUGACACGAGUUGAACUUACGGGAGAAGAAACAGACGGGCCGAUACACUCCGUCUUCAUCUUCCUAUGUGACCCUGUCCUAACAAGGCUCCUGAGCCAAUAUCCUCCAUUCCAGCUGGUCAGGACAGCCUUAAACAGCCCAUGGAGCAGCUCAGCCUGGACAGAGUGACAAACAUAAAAAAGACUGUGAUUGGACGUUCUCUCUUCGUCAUCCAAAAGCUGCUUACUUAGGUCCGAAGAUUUCCUCAGUCUCUGGCUGGGGAACAGGAUCCAUUUCAUAAAGGGAUCAGAGGCACCAUCUUGGCCUGACUUCAUUGAGAUGUGCUUCUCUGUUUAAACGGACUGUGGUCUGUUUCUCUCUCUCUUGGUCAGGCUGUUGUACUGCUUGAUAUGGAUGGAAGUUUCCAGCCUCCUCAGGUCAGAGUUCAAACUAGCCCACGUGACUGACCACAGCCUGUUAUACUGUGCAGGUGUCCAUGAUCUGGUGGCCUGUGGCGUCAUCAGCCCAAGAGUGUACCUGUAAGGACCACUCAUUCUCUUUGCUGCACCAAGCAGACAGCUCCAGCUUGGUGCAAAUAAGAUGCCUGACCAUCUGGUACAUGUCCCAACUCAACAUGGCCCUCCUGCUGAACAACUCGGAGGUGUGGCACAUCAUGCUGUUUAAGUGCAACUCUGUAGGAAGCAGGCCAGCAUUCUUGGACUCUUUUGCAAUGCAGAAUCUGCAGAGGCUGACUGUGUUGUACCCCUUGUGGUAGUCUGACCAGACACAUGACAUCAUACUGGGGAGGGACAUGGGUGCACCUUACUAUGAAGAGACCAGGCUAGGAAUCAUCCACAGCUCAGUGCUGCUGGGAGAAUCCAAUGUGAACAACAAAGAUAGACAACAACGGAAUCCUCUCGUCUAGAGUGAAACUACCAGAUACUUUUCUAUAUUAAUGCAGAUUCCUUUUUUCUAUGUUAACAUUGCCAAUGUACCACUACCUAUGCCUGUGACUGCAAUCUUCAUGGUCAUUUCAAUAUAGUAAGGUCACGAUUCAAUCAUGUAUUUUCACACUUCACUUUUAGAAGUGGGUUUGAUUUGCACAGCAGCAUGUCUCAAAUGGUGCCAUUACCUUUUGUUUCAAAUAUAUAUUUGAGGUAUUUUAACUUAAUUUAGACAGUAAGGAAAUCAGAGGGGGAGACAGGCAGGUGGGAGGAACAGUGGGAAGGGUGGACACUGGGACUGAACCCUGGUCUCCGAUGGGGAGUGUUGUAUGCGACUUGUGCAAACACACAUCCGACAGUUUGUACUUAUUUAGUAAUACUUUUCGAGGAAGCAUUUCAAUAACAGCAGUUAGGCUCUUUCCUUUUAAUUAAAGGUCUGCUUCAAUAUUCAUCAACACAAUACCUGUUGUUUGGCUUUGCUGAAAUAUCUACUUCCUUUACGGUAUAAUUUAAUUGACAUGAAAUUGAAUUUCAUUGACAAAUGUCCUUCAGUCUACCCUGCAAGGAUAACAAUUUGUUUGCUCUUUCAAAUCUGCAUUUAUUAACAUAGUAAUUACAAUAAUCCAUUGAAUUAGCUUUGAUUGUAUAUUAUGCAAAGAAAA